CCUACGGGUGGCAGCAGUGGGGAAUAUUGGGCAAUGGGCGCAAGCCUGACCCAGCAACGCCGCGUGAAGGAAGAAGGCUUUCGGGUUGUAAACUUCUUUUCUCAGGGACGAAGCAAGUGACGGUACCUGAGGAAUAAGCCACGGCUAACUACGUGCCAGCAGCCGCGGUAAUACGUAGGUGGCAAGCGGUAUCCGGAUUUACUGGGUGUAAAGGGCGGGUAGGCGGGACUGCAAGUCAGAUGUGAAAACCACGGGCUCAACCUGUGGCCUGCAUUUGAAACUGUAGUUCGUGAGUGAUGGAGAGGCAGGCGGAAUUCGGUGUGUAGCGGUGAAAUGCGUAGAUAUACGGAGGAACACCAGUGGCGAAGGCGGCCUGCUGGACAUUAACUGACGCUGAGGCGCGAAAGCGUGGGGAGCAAACAGGAUUAGAUACCCCGGUAGUC
rnacentral:rRNA from 1 species